GCCAGGUGCAGUGAUGCAUGCCUAUAGUCCCAGCUACUUGGGAGGCUGAGGUGGGAGGAUGGCUUGAGCCCGCGAGUUCUGGGCUGUAUGCGCUAUGCCAAGUGGGUGUCUGUACUAAGUUUGGCAUCAAUAUGGUGACCUCCCAGGAGCAGGGGACCACCAGGUUGCCUAAGGAGGGGUGAACUGGCCCAGGUUGGAAACAGAGUAGGUCAAAACUCCUGUGCUGAUCAGUAGUGGGAUUGCGCCUGUGAAUAGUCACUGCACUCCAGCCUGGGCAACAUAGCAAGACCCUGUCUAA
rnacentral:SRP_RNA from 1 species